rnacentral:rRNA from 1 species
ACCAGUUGUCGUGCCAACGGCAUAGCUGGGUAGCUAUGUAUGGACGGGAUAAGUGCUGAAAGCAUCUAAGCAUGAAGCCCCCCUCGAGAUGAGAUUUCCCAACUUCGGUUAUAAGAUCCCUCAAAGAUGAUGAGGUGAAUAGGUUCGAGGUGGAAGCGUAGCGAUACGUGGAGCUGACGAAUACUAAUCGAUCGAAGACUUAAUCAACAU